GCAGACACAUUCCAGCCAAUCAGCAGCAGACCCUCCCUCCCAGACCUUCCCACCUCCUGGACAGCAUCCAUUUUGAAGCUGCAUUCUUAGUGAGCUGUCCAGGAGGUGGGAGGGUCUGGGAGGGAGGGUCUGCUGCUGAUUGGCUGGAAUGGGUCUG
rnacentral:miRNA from 1 species